UACAGAGGGGGCAAGCGUUGUUCGGAAUUACUGGGCGUAAAGGGCGCGUAGGCGGCCUUCUAAGUCGAACGUGAAAUCCCCGGGCUCAACCUGGGAACUGCGUCCGAUACUGGCAGGCUUGAAUCCGGGAGAGGGAUGUGGAAUUCCAGGUGUAGCGGUGAAAUGCGCAGAUAUCAGGAGGAACACCUAUUGCGAAGGCAGCUCGCUGGGACGUUACUGACGCUGAGACGCGAAAGCGUGGGGAGCAAACAGG
rnacentral:rRNA from 1 species